GUGAGACCCGGCGCCCCGCGCCCACAGGCGACCCCGGCGAGCUCAAUUAGCGCACGGGCCGCCAGCGCCUCAAAGGCCGCCCGCCCGCCGCCCGCCGCCCGCCGCCCGCGGGGGUGGGCAGCGCGGGCUGGCGGGGGCGGGGACGGCGCGGGCGGCUCCGGAGGGGAACCUGCUUAAUCACCCAGGAAGGCCCGGGCCGGUCCCCAGAUCACCCCCCAGCGGCCCACCGAGGGCCUUGGACGCCGCCCGCAGCCCGGGCUGGACGGUCGGCCUGCGGCCCCCCCCUCACACUGUGCAGGGCCUCCGUCCAGGGCCCACCGCAGACAUGGAGUGACCGAGCUCAGUGCUCAUCCUCCUGGUGCAAAGCUUAUCGGAAACGGGGGCGAGUGACAGUUCUGCCUUGAAGGGCCAUGGGGAGGCCCAAGGGACAGUGUCCACACAGGACCAGCAAGGGCCCUGGGCGUGGAAUCACUGGCUGCGCUCUUGUCCCCGAAGAGGACCCGGGCAGAAAUGUCUCCACCACGCGGCUGGAGUGACCGCACCCUCGUCCCGCCUUUCUCUGCCUGCUGCGUGCUCAUGUGCACACACGAACACACACAGGUGAGAACACAGGUAUACACAUACAUGCCUGCACCUAUAACACACACACACACCCCUGCACCUAUAACACGCAUGCACACACACACACCAGGACGCGCACACCUCCGCAGACUUUGCCAUCCCAAGUCCAUGGCUGGCCUUCCACAGCCAGGUUUCUCGUGGACGAAGAGACAGCCUGGCCUCUUCCAACCCCGAUCCCCUGGUCCCAUAACACAAAGGGGUGCAAGCUGGAGGUCAGGAGGUGCCCUGGCCCCCAAAUGCCAGAUCCAGGGAGUCUAGCUGUGCUCUCGCCAGGAAAUGGCCCACCUCCAGGGACUCAAGCCAGGGAGAAAGCUGAGGAGCCUCCAUUCUUGAAUUUGUCCUCCAUCUACAAAGUGAAAAUGAGCCCAGCCCUCACUAUGACCUACAAAGGCUCUGUCGAGAGUGCUCCAAGCCUGACUGUGCCCUGGGUGGGAAGCCAGGGCACAUUUCCACCUCCAUCCACAGAGAGAGCCACCAGCCAGUGGCCUGGCCAGGUGUCCAGCGUGUCUGCAGAGUAGACUGUCAGGUAAUGUUCAGCCCUGGGCUCGUCUGCCCUUCACAGAGCUUUGUUUGACGACCUCUUCAAACCCAUGUGGGAAUUUAGAUCGUAGGAGCCUAACAUGGCGUCAUUAAUGAAGCAGAGCACCCCCCGGGGUGUGGAGACUGGAUAAGGGCUUCCAGGACGUUGCAGAAUGUCCCUAGGGGCCUUCACAAGCACCACCCUCCCCCCGACUUCGAGAACCCACCUGCACGUGGAGUGAGGCUCCCAGGGGAAGUGGCUGAGCGCGGGGAGGGAGGAGAAGCUAAUUUCUCAGCUUCUCACUUCUCUGGGAGGUCGGCGUCUCCUGGUGGGCGUCCUGGGCGGCCAGAGACAGGGGCGCACACUGGACGAGGGUGGCCCGUCCUCAGCCUCCCAGCCCGCACGCCCUGACCCGGCAGUGGGGACAAGGUGGCCUUAGCCUCGGAUAAGCGGCUCUGAUUGCGCGCACACAGUCGGCACACAAAGUCAACAUCACCUCAGUCACAUGACCUCCACGCCCCGACACUCUCCAGGGUCAUGGAGUCCUCCGCUUCCUGUUCAGAUGUCCCCGGGCCUCUGGAGUUGGGGAGGCCAAGGUCAGCAAGCCCUUCAGGAGAGAAAGUGAACAGUCUCCUUCCCUGGACGGGGUCCAGCCAGCCCAGAAUGGUCUUGUCCUGGGGACAUCCCAGAUCACAGGAGUCACCCCAGCGCCCAGGGAUUCACACCCUCCCAGUCCACCUUUCACCAGGGACUGACCCCAGGAGGGAUGAAAGGCAAGCUCCUCUGCUGGGGGUCAAGGCAAGUUCAAAGGUCACACAGCCCUCACAUCGCCCCCCGAGAUCACGAGUCCCCAGGCCGGAGCGAGACAAAGUGAACCCCUCUUGGAUCGUGGGGGCUGCAGAGACCUGCCUGCAAAAGAAGCGAUUACGUCUCGGCGGGAUUCUUUACCAGCUGAGAGCCUGUGCUCCACUACAGAAGACGUCACCAAGGAAGACGCUCCUACACUGAAACUAGAGAGUGGUCCCCACUUGCUGCAGCGAGAGACAAGCCUGCGCAUCAGCUAAGACCCAGCACAGCCAAAGUACCUAAAUAAAAUACUUUUUUAAAACCUG
ensembl:lncRNA